GGAGAGAGAGAGCAGAAGAACCCCCGGGUUUGUUUCUGUCCUGUUCCACCGCCUCAAGUCUUUAAUGCUUAUCGUUAGGGUUUACAAGUGUGAUUUGGUUUCAGACUAAGAAAGCUUUUCUGAAGCAACCCAAAGUGUUCUUGAGAAAACAGGGAAGGGUAAGAGACAUGAAAAGGGAGGCAACCGAUUCUGGAAGAGUAUUAAGCUGGGCUUCAAGACCCCUAGGGAUGCCAUAUGUUGCUAGCUGCCACUUAAAUAUUCAUACAAGAUCAGAAGGACAUGAUGCAAAUAUUUCCAGCAAGUGUGGUGAAAUUAUGGAACGAAUGGGAUGUCCUAGUAUUGGUUCUGACCAG